rnacentral:misc_RNA from 1 species
GGUAUGGUCAGGUUAGCAUCUUAAAGGGUAUGGAACUCUCAUUCUGAUACAUUCCAAAGCAUGAUCUAUGAUUAAAAUUUGUAUUUUGAGUGAGACUAGAGGGUGAAAAUUAUACAACUUUCCUCCAUUAUGUUAAAGCCAACUUAAUGGGUUCUUCAAACAUAUAAUAUUUAAGUGUGUGUGUCGAUCUGCACAUAAUUAUUUUUAAUUUUGAAUACAUUUCUUUGUAUGGAAUGAUUUAAUGAUGUACUUGUGUCAAUAUUUUCUUAUAUGAACUUGUCAUCUUGCUCAAAAUUUACAGAUUGAAUGUGGAAUACUCAAAAUAUUUUUAUUUAAGAUGAUGAGAAAAUAUAUGAAAUGAAAAUAUUC